UUGCAGCAGUCGUCCCGCGCGCCGAUCUUCCGUCUCCAUCGCCGGUUCUGUCUUCGUCGAAGCCCGAGCCGCCGUGUGAACCAGUAACUGCCACGUCCGCCGCUCACAACCGCCGUGAAGCCAGCCGCGCAACCUUCAUUCCAACCGCUGCACUGCCGCGCGAUUCUCCGGCCACGUCUUCUUUAGCCGACCGCUGACCGACCCACACUUAGGAUUUUGCUGCGAGUUCGACAGUCGUGCGUUGAGGUGUUGGGAGUAACCUUGGGCUCCCUUAAAUUCACAACCAAAUUGUGAAUUGUUGAGGGUUCAGUUCGCCAAUAUUAAGAAUUUGAUUCAUUGGAUUUAGUCGAUUGAAGAAUUUGCAUAGAAAUCGAGUGUGUAGCGCCCACCUCUAGGUGACGGAUUUUCAGCAGCCACCGUCGCCCUCUUCCAAUUUUGUUUUCGACAACCCUCUCUAUUCUAUGUUGCUGUUUCCAAUGGGGUUGUAUUAUCUUCUGGAGUAUACAUGUUAGAUUUGUUGUAGAUGUAGCCAUGGUUGCUUCCUCCUUCGUUGCUUAUUCUUAACUUGAUGUAACUUAUAGCCAUCUAAUUCGUUUCUUCUUCCUAUUUUUUCUCCUCUUCUAAUGGCAUCUUUCAUUCUCUACAUCCAACUUGCGCAACCGUGAUAUAUUCUCCAAGGUAAGUAUCUCUUUAAUGGACGUCAAAAGACUGCAUCUUGAAAAAUGAUUUCAUCCAAUAUAUAUUCAUAUGGGCUUUUUUAUUCCUUUGAAAGAAUGCCAUUCAUAUAUUACACAUCCUUAUACCUGAGUUUACAAGGUUGUUAUAGUACUUUCGCGUUUCAUGAGUGAAAAGAUAGAAUCAAGUUGCGGAAUUACGUUCAUUUUUAGAGCUCUUAAGUGAUUGAAGAUAGUUGAUGUAUAUUUAUUUUCUCAAAAGUCACAUUUUUUGCAAGUUUGGUUUACUUUGGAUUUAUUAAAGAUAAUACCAGUUCACUUAUUGAUUCCAUUCAUUCCCGAAAAAAUUCUUUAAAAAAAUUUAGUUUAACACCAAGAAUCGCUUUGAGGAUUUAUCUCCUUAAGGGUUGUCGGAACCAUAUACUGAACAUCUACAAUACGUUUGAUCAUAGUUAACUUUACAAUGAUCUAGUUGAUAGUCUUCCUAUUUGUUGAGCUUCUCUUUUAGAUUGAAGGAAAGGGAAAGACUUGGCUAGGUUGUGGCAAGCAAACUUCUUCGCUAUUAUGUGGAGAAAUUUAGAGGGGAGGCUAGGGAGUUAGAGAGUUUUUUUGGAAAAAAAAAAAAAGAGACGAGACUUUACAUUAAGAGAAUGAAAAAAAGACCAAUGUUCAAAGAAGUGAAAAAGAGCAACAUAGCACAAAAAAAGACAUAGGAACAUAAUGCAAAAAGUAAGCUAGAGAGGUGAUAAGGAUAAUUAGUAUAUUUUAGUUAAUUGGUUAAUUGUCUUAUUUUCCUGUAAGGCUAUAGAUAGCCAAUUUAGAGUGUAUUUGAACCUCUUGAAUAUCUUUCCAAUAUAGAACGUUGUUCUUGGAGAGCUUUUUCUCAUCUCUAAGGAAUGAGAUUUCUCUUGUUCCAGAAUGGAUUUGGCAUGGUACUCCAACCUGCUGCAUCAAGAGGUUUAAUUAUUCAGUUUGGGCAUUGAUCACUAGGACUUUUUGUAAUUGUGAUAAUGAUCUUGUUCUUUUUUAUUAGAUUGUUUUAUGUGAUUAGUCAUUGACUCCUUUUUAUGAGUAUUACGUCUUUUUUUUGUUUUUCUUAUUGCAAUUGAGAAUUUAGCCAUUGUGCUUACUCUUUAUGGAGUAUCUAAAGACAAGAAAUCGACACUCCAAUGCUAUGAAAAUUUUCCUAUAAGCUGAUGAUAUGUGGGGAAGAUAUUCAUAGUUCAUCUUUAUUGGCGAUGAUUGCAUAAUACAAACUGUUUAACUCUAAGGAUUACAAAUUGUCGUACAUGUAUUGUCGUAGGCUGUUUUGUUCUAAGGACUAGGAACAACCCAAGAAGUUGUUCAAUUUGCAGUGGCCAUUUGGUUGGACGUUCUUCUUCUCCUUGAUCUCUUUCUCCUCUUCUUAGGAACUUCAUUUUCAUUAUCAGAUUUGAAGAGGGACCACCAUGAGUGGGGUAGUAAAAUGAAUAGAGAAUGGGAGAGUGAGCUGGGUAUGUUUUUGGUAUGUGUAUUCUAGAGAGAAAGAGUAGCAGUAUGUUUUUGUUUGCUGUGUUUGCCUAAUAUAGUCCUCAUGGUCUUCUCUUUUCAUUUCAUGGAAUCAAGUGUUGAAGUUCUUGUUUGUGUUCUGUAUUUUGUUGAGACGUUGAUUUAGUUAUUCAUUGACUGUACGUAUGUGUUAUGGAUUCUUUGUAGGUUCAACUGGAGUCGACAAGUUCAUGAGUUUUGUUUCAAAUAUCAUUUCCAGAAACGAACAUUCUCGAUUGGUCCAGUCAAAUAUAUUCGAAUGCUAUUUAAGAUAUUUUUUGAUUAAGGGUUAGUAUUUCGUACAUGUGGAUUACUGAAACUUGUAUUAAGAUGUACAAAUAUUAUAAAUCGUAUUAUAGUGUAUAUAUAUUAAAGUGUUGGCUAUUUUCUUGUACAUUGGUGUGAAACUUGUAUAAUUUCAAAUUUGUCA